rnacentral:rRNA from 1 species
CGGUCCUAAGGUAGCGAAAUUCCUUGUCGGGUAAGUUCCGACCUGCACGAAUGGCAUAAUGAUGGCCAGGCUGUCUCCACCCGAGACUCAGUGAAAUUGAAAUCGCCGUGAAGAUGCGGUGUACCCGCGGCUAGACGGAAAGACCCCGUGAACCUUUACUAUAGCUUGACACUGAACAUUGAAUUUUGAUGUGUAGGAUAGGUGGGAGACUUAGAAGUAGUCACGCCAGUGAUUAUGGAGUCGUCCUUGAAAUACCACCCUUUAACGUUUGAUGUUCUAACGAAGAUUGCGGAACGCGGUCUCGGACAGUGUCUGGUGGGUAGUUUGACUGGGGCGGUCUCCUCCCAAAGAGUAACGGAGGAGCACGAAGGUUUGCUAAUCACGGUCGGACAUCGUGAGGUUAGUGCAAUGGUAUAAGCAAGCUUAACUGCGAGACAGACAAGUCGAGCAGGUACGAAAGUAGGUCAUAGUGAUCCGGUGGUUCUGAAUGGAAGGGCCAUCGCUCAACGGAUAAAAGGUACUCCGGGGAUAACAGGCUGAUACCGCCCAAGAGUUCAUAUCGACGGCGGUGUUUGGCACCUCGAUGUCGGCUCAUCACAUCCUGGGGCUGAAGUAGGUCCCAAGGGUAUGGCUGUUCGCCAUUUAAAGUGGUACGCGAGCUGGGUUUAGAACGUCGUGAGACAGUUCGGUCCCUAUCUGCCGUGGGCGUUGGAGAAUUGGUUGGGGCUGCUCCUAGUACGAGAGGACCGGAGUGGACGCACCACUGGUGUUCCGGUUGUGUCGCCAGACGCAUUGCCGGGUAGCUAAGUGCGGAAGAGAUAAGUGCUGAAAGCAUCUAAGCACGAAACUUGCCAAGAGAUGAGUUCUCCCAGAUUUAAAAUCUGUAAGGGUUGUUUAAGACUAAGACGUAGAUAGGUGCGGUGUGUAAGUGAUGUGAGUCAUUGAGCUAACGCAUACUAAUUGCCCGAGAGGCUUAACUAU